rnacentral:rRNA from 1 species
AAAGGAGCAGGCAUUAGGCACAACCCUACGUUAGCCCACAACGCCUUGCUCAGCCACACCCCCAAGGGAACUCAGCAGUAAUAAACAUUAAGCUAUAAGUGAAAACUUGACUUAGUUAAAACCAAGAGGGCCGGUAAAACUCGUGCCAGCCACCGCGGUUAUACGAGAGGCCCAAGUUGACAACUACCGGCGUAAAAUGUGGCUAAUAUAGUAUUACACUAAAGCUAAACAUCUUCAAAGCUGUUAUACGCAUCCGAAGACAGGAUGCCCUUCCACGAAAGUGGCUUUAAACAAUAUUAACCCACGAAAGCUAGGAAACAAACUGGGAUUAGAUACCCCACUAUGCCUAGCCUUAAACAAAAGCGAUUUAUUUACACCCCUCGCUUGCCAGGGAACUACGAGCCCCAGCUUAAAACCCAAAGGACUUGGCGGUGCUUUAGACCCACCUAGAGGAGCCUGUUCUAGAACCGAUAACCCCCGUUCAACCUCACCUUCUCUUGUUUUUCCCGCCUAUAUACCGCCGUCGUCAGCUUACCCUGUGAAGGGCACAUAGUGAGCACAAUUGGUACAACCCAAAACGUCAGGUCGAGGUGUAGCGUACGAGAAGGGAAGAAAUGGGCUACAUUUACUGAACCAGUAAACACGGAUAAUGCCUUGAAACAGACAUUUAAAGGAGGAUUUAGCAGUAAGAGAGGAAUAGAGCGCCCCUCUGAAACUGGCCCUGAAGCGCGCACACACCGCCCGUCACUCUCCCCCACAACCAU